AUUAUUAUUAUUAUUAUUUUAUACAAGUUGUGCAUGUAUUCUUGUAGUUAGUUCACCUUGUACUUUACUAAUGGUGAAUAGUGAAGUACCAAGUGUGGCUGCAAUUGAAAUCAAGACUAAAAAACCUGACCCAAUAAACACUCCAUCUUUGACUACAUAGCAUUUCUGGUCUAACCAUCCUUUUCCAUAGAGCUGUUUUCUACUCAUGCUUGUGCCUGCACUUAAUAAAAUCACUGCAAGACCAAAGCAGAUCCAUGACAAAACCAGAAAUGCUGUGGCGAUCUUUGGUUUCUUAGCCUUGGAAGAAU
rnacentral:misc_RNA from 1 species